AGGUUGGGUUAAUUGUUACGAUAUAGCUGUGAAGUGCUAUAUGGUCCUUUCCCCCUGCUCAAAGCAAUUGUUUCCCACAAUCCCUGUCUCACUCAGUUCUAUAGUAAGACAUGGACGCUUGGUCUCAAACAU
ensembl:snoRNA SNORA63 Small nucleolar RNA SNORA63